rfam:Brassica napus, WGS project CCCW01000000 data, contig: 4801
CUCGAGUUGUCUUUCAUGUCUAGACCAUUUGUGAGAAGGGAUUUUUUGUUUGCACCGUUCACCCCACUUUCAAUCUGUAGUGAGUAUUAAGGAAAAUAGCUUGUUCAACAUAUCACACUACUCUUUUAGAAACAAUACUAUAUUUUAGAUGCUUUUCCAGCUUGAUAUACGUUGUUUUGUUAUGUAUAUCUGUAUUAUCCCGGCUACCAAAACGUUAAGAAAUAAGGUGAACAUCCUAAAACCUGCAUCCAAUUAGAAAGGUCUAGGUCACAGAUAUUACUUGUUAUCUCUUGAUUAAGCUAUUUUAUUUCUAUCAGCAUGAUCAGAUCAUUCAGGAGUUAAGUAUAAACUAAAAUACAUUAAGUCCAUUCAUGACAUUUCUGGAUGCUGCAUACAUAAUAUUUUCCUUGUUUUUGGACUAUGCCACACUUCGGACAGACAUUUUGCCUAAGAGAUGUCAAACCUCUGUCUGGAGUGUUAGAGGUAUUUCAUGAUAGCUAAGAACUUGAAUCUUGCACUACUUAGCUACACUAGAUUACUUCAUAGUAAAUAACUUGGGGAGUGGGGGAAGGUGCUGGGUUAUUAUUCCCUUCUCAUCGAUGGUCUAGAUGUGCGAGGUGACUCUCAUUGAGG